UUACCAGGCCUUGACAUGCAGAGAACUUUCCAGAGAUGGAUUGGUGGCCUUCGGGAACUCUGACACAGGUGCUGCAUGGCUGUCGUCAGCUCGUGUCGUGAGAUGUUGGGUUAAGUCCGUAACGAGCGCAACCCUUGUCCUUAGUUACCAGCACGUUAUGGUGGGCACUCUAAGGAGACUGCCGGUGACAAACCGGAGGAAGGUGGGGAUGACGUCAAGUCAUCAUAGCCCUUACGGCCUGGGCUACACACGUGCUACAAUGGUCGGUACAAAGGGUUGCCAAGCCGCGAGGUGGAGCUAAUCCCAUAAAACCGAUCGUAGUCCGGAUCGCAGUCUGCAACUCGACUGCGUGAAGUCGGAAUCGCUAGUAAUCGUGAAUCAGAAUGUCACGGUGAAUACGUUCCCGGGCCUU
rnacentral:rRNA from 1 species